CUAAGCAGGGUGUGUGGGUGUGUUUCACAUCAAUGAAUGGUAUCUCCUGAUUUGUAUGAGUUGGUCCUAAAAGCAGUUCCUUUUUCGAGCUGUGCAGUGUCUUCCUAGGAGUCUAGACCCACACCAGAAGUUCAAUGUCAUCGCAUCUGUAAAGCUCAACUCUGGCUCCUGGGGCGCGACAUUCAGGUCACGCUGAGGUUUGGACCGAGACGACGUUGGCACCAGGCCGGCAAUAUUGGGGCCCUGAUGACCUGUCCUGUAGUUAUCAUCUCAGAGUGCAACCAGAACCGGAGGCCAGAAUCAGACAACCUAGUGAGUUUCCAGGUACAAAUAGCUAAGAGUUGAUUUAUUCUGUGCUUUUUAGUUUUUACGUUACCCCAUCUCCAUAUUCUGGGUUAAGUGGGCAAGGACUUCCUCUAUCGGCAGGAACCCAAGUCCUCGCCAUCCCAUGUGCCAAGGUGGGUCACUUUCACCAGGUCCCCAGGUGCCAACAGAGGCAGCCUGCCCCACCCUCUCCAC
rnacentral:lncRNA from 1 species